CCGCCGUGGCGCUCCCAGCGUCGCCGCCGCCGCCACCGCCUCCCUCCGCCGUCUUCUCCAUGGCCGCCCACGCCGAUCCGCGCCGAAUGCUUUCUGCGAGCUUCUCAGCUGGUGUGACUUUAUGAGUAAAGAAAGUCUAGGCAGAUUCUGACUUACACAAGUUCAGCGUUAGCCUGAAAGAACUGCUGAGAGACACAGCAGUAAUGUUCAUCAAGGGACUGCACCUCUCUACAUGCACAAGGCACAGUGCCAUCAACAACUUCCUUGAGAUGGAAUGGAAUUUUUUCACUAUUGGAAACAAGAACAGCCACAACAGAGACAGACUGCUGAAAAGGAUGAACCACAGAGGCUCAAGUACGAACUUUCAGAGUAAGUAGAGCACAUCUGUUGGGAUCAUUAGUGAAGUGAAGUGAAGUGAAGUGAAGUGAAGUGAAGUGAAGUGAAGUGAAGUGAAGUUGAAGUGAAGAUCAUACGUGAAGUAGCUCACAACUAAAGGUAAGCAUAAGUGGAACAGAUUCACAGUUUAUAAAAAAUGAAAACAUACUAAAAAUAUAUUAAAAUCAUUAGGAAAUUAAGUACAUAAAUGAAAAUAUAGUUGGAAAAAAAAAAUCAAUGCUCUGUAUGCUAUUGGCACUUCCACAUACAUCAGCUCUGCCGACUGUUUUCAAAUGGCAUCUUAAAGAAAGCAAGCAGACAACGAGAAGAUGAGGUUCUGCUGGUGUAUCAGUGGGAUACAAAAGAACAAAAAUACAUGGGUCAUGAAAUUUGGAAUGACAGAGGCUGAAGAGCUCAGGCAGCAGCACAGAAAUUGAACACUGAGUGCCACGUAGUUUCUAGGGCAGAAGUGAAUGUGCUGGAUUCCAAAGGCCUCCGGUGAAUUAUGUAAGAGGAAGAAAAAAAGAUUGCCACUG